AUACGGAGGAUCCGAGCGUUAUCCGGAUUUAUUGGGUUUAAAGGGUGCGUAGGUGGUUUGAUAAGUCAGCGGUGAAAGUUUGCAGCUUAACUGUAAAAAUGCCGUUGAAACUGUCGGACUUGAGUGUAAAUGAGGUAGGCGGAAUGCGUGGUGUAGCGGUGAAAUGCAUAGAUAUCACGCAGAACUCCGAUUGCGAAGGCAGCUUACUAAGCUACAACUGACACUGAAGCACGAAAGCGUGGGGAUCAAACAGGAUUAGAUACCCUGGUAGUCCACGCAGUAAACGAUGAUUACUAGCUGUUUGCGAUACACAGUAAGCGGCACAGCGAAAGCGGUAAGUAAUCCACCUGGGGAGUACGCCGGCAACGGUGAAACUCAAAUGAAUUGACGGGG
rnacentral:rRNA from 1 species